rnacentral:lncRNA from 10 species
CCUUGUGAUCCACCCGCCUCGGCCUCCCAAAGUGCUGGGAUUACAGGCGUGAGCCACCGUGCUCUUCCUAAUUUUUGUCUUUAUUUUUUGUAGAGACACGGUCUCGUUAGGUUGCCCAGGCUGGUCUUGAACUCUUGGGCUCAAGCAAUCCUUCUGCCUCAGCCUCCCAAAGUGCUGGGAUUACGGGCAAGAGCCACCGCACUUAUACUCCCUUCUCAUUCUUGAAAAUGGAAUAUUUUCAGUCUUGUCUUCUACAGACUGAGCCUUCUGACUCCUUUCAGCUUUCCUCACUGCAGAGAAGCAUCUCCUGCCGCUUUUCAUUGUUGCCUUAGUUUAUUUUCUGAGCCAUUCAAGAGGGUUUGGUAGGCUCCUACUUUCUCUGUCUCUCUCUGGGCUACCCCAUCUGUCAUCUUCCUGCCUUUUGGUUCACAACUUUCCAGCAUUUGUUCUAAUAGCUAAGGGCAGCACAGAAUUCCACCAAUGCAAUUCAACACUGCGAGGGGGCGCCACUCAGUACAAGCCAAGGAACCUCGCAAGAGGCUCACAGUUGAGUGUGGAAGACAGACGUACACACAAAUAACUGGACUAUGGAGCAGGAGAAUGCAAAGCUCUUCCACCCAGGAGAGCCCGGUGGCCCAAGAGAGCACGGGACCACAUGGGGCACUGUUGGGUUGUCCUUGUGGGUGUCCUCUCUUGCUGGCCUGUGACCCUUGUGGGAGCACGUGCAUGAGCUGGGCAGAGGAAUGAGGGAUGCCCUUUGUGUGCUUAUUUUUCCUACAGAGUGAGUUGUGGUCUUUCGGUGACCUCUCUUGGCCAUUUAAAGCUGCCCUUGACAUUCACUUUAACUGGAUUCUCCAGGGAGAGGAGAGGGGAGUGCCAGAAGGCACCUGUGUAAUUUACCCUGGUGUCCAGCACCGCAGUCUUAGCCUGGCAUCCCCGUGUGUGCAUGUGGAGUGGGCAUUAGCCAACAGGUGGCACUUUGCUCACAAGUGCCUGAAGUUUGUGUGACUGGUGGGGUUCAGGUUCAGACUGAGAUCCAUCUGAGGUUGACAUGGCUUCUCCUAGGAUCCAGGCACAAAGCUAGGUGCUGUCUGGCACACCAGUCAUUCUCAAAACUCAGAAGUGCAUCAGAAGCACUUGUCAAAACACAGGUGUGUGGGACUUGUUCCAAAGCUCCUGAUUCAGUGGGUUUGGGAUGGGGCUGGGGAAUUCACAUGUCUUUCUUUUUUUGUUGUUUUUUGAGAUGGAGUCUCACUCUGUCUCCCAGGCUGGAGUGCAGUGGUGCGAUCUCGGUUCACUGCAACCUCUGUCUCCUGGGUUCAAGCAAUUCUCCUGCCUCAGCCUCCCGAGUAGCUGGGAUUACAGGCACCCACCAACAUGCCUGGCUAAUUUUUGUAUUUUUAAUAGAAAUGGGGUUUCAUCAUGUUGGUGAGGAUGGUCUCGAACUCCUGACCUCAGGUGAUCCACCCACCUCGGCCUCCCAAAGUGCUGGGGUUACAGCGUGAGCCACCACACCUGGCUGGGAAUUCACAUUUCUAACAAGUUUCCAGAUGAGGCUGCAAGUCCUGAUGGUACAGGGAUGGCACUUUGAGAACCCCUGCUGUGCAGUGUCAUGUGUCAUCACCUCAUCUCCCUUAGGGCAGAUAGUGCCACUCCCAGCUUACCAAAGAAGAAACUACAGCCUCCACAGGCCAAGUGACCUUGCCAAGGCCACACAGCUGGAGGGUGCUAGGGAGCCAAACUGCACCUGCUGCACUGCCUUUUGCCCCCAGGGCAAUGUGGCUGGGGUGGGUGUGACAGCAUCUCUCCAAAUUUUUGUUCCAGAGAGGGCAGUAAGUAGAGAGGGCAGGCUUGGGGUAAGCAGUACUGGGAGGUGGUCAUAGAGUCACUGUUAGGCUAACAGUCAUUCCUUGGGUGGCCAUAAUGUUUUAAAGACACUUUCAGCAAGGCACAGUGGUGCAUGCCUGUAGCCCCAGCUACUUGAGAGGCUUGCUUGAGCCCAGGAGUUUGAGACUGGCCUAGGCAACAUAGUGAGACCUCAUCUCAAAAAAUAUUUAAAAAUAAAAAUAAGAUACUUUUGCUUCUAUCUAUCUAUCUAUCUAUCUAUCUAUCUAUCUAUCUAUCUACCUAUCUUAGAGACCGGGUCUUACUGUGUUGCCCAGGCUGCUGUGCAGUGGCAUGACCAUGGCUCACUGAAUCCUUGAACUCCUGGACUCAAGUGAUCCUCCCACUCAGCCUCCUGAGUAGCUGGGACUACAGGUGCACACCACCAUGCCUCACUAAUUAAAAACAUUUUUUUUUUUAAAGAUGGGGUGUAGGCCGGGCACGGUGGCUCACGCCUGUAAUCCCAGCACUUUGAGAGGUUGAGGUGGGCAGAUUACGAGGUCAAAAGAUCGAGACCAGCCUGGCCAACAUGGUGAAACCCCAUCUCUACUGAAAAUACAAAAAUUAGCUGGGCGUGGUCACGCGCACCUGUAGUCUCAGCUAUUCGGGAGGCUGAGGCAGGAGAAUCACUUGAACCCAGGAGGCGGAGGUUUCAGUAAGCCGAGAUUGCGCCACUGCACUCCAGCCUGGCGACAGAGUGAGACUCCAUCUCAAAAAAAAAAAAAAAAAAAAAAAAGAUGGGGUGUCGCUGUGUUGCUCAGGCUUGCUUCUGUUUCAAUCAAGCCUCAUGAUACUGGUCAGCAAGCACUCACAAUGGGUGCUACACUGUCUCCCUGACCCUCUCCCUUUCCAGGACUGAAGCUUUCACACCCCCAGCCAGCAGCUGGCAGUCCCUCCCCAGGAACUGUCCUUCCCGGGAGAGCCACCUCACCCAAGGUCACGCCCACACCCUAGAGGCAGCUCACAUUCACUAAGUCCCUCCCCUCAAUGCGGGACAACUCUGAAGGUCCUUGCAGACCAGGGCGCCCCUCCAUUGCAAGUGCAGGCAGCCCAGCUUUUCCCUGUGCUCACUUCUCCCUCUCCCAUGCCAGUGUGCUUCUUGAGGGCACUCCCAGCAAACUUGCUGCACACAAACCUCAGUCUCCUGGGGAGCCUGUCCUGCAACAGCUUAUUAGGUACCAGGCACGAUCCUAGGCACUUUACGCAUAUUAUUUCAUACUAUCCUCCCAACAACCCCAAGAGGCAGGCACUUUUAUUAUCAAAGGCUAUGUAACUUGUCCAAGGUCACAGAGCUAGCAAGCCAGAGAGCCAGGGUUGUCAUGCAGGGAGUUGGGCUCCGGGGCUCUGAAAUGUUACAACACUGUCUUAAUUCCUAUAGUCUAGCUUGAGGAAAUUAGACAGAAGAAACAGUGAAGAUGUAUUCUGAUUUGAGGGGGGAAUAAAUCUCAGCCGGGCACGGUGGCUCAUGCCUAUAAUCCCAGCACUUUGGGAAGUUGAGGCGGGUGGAUCAUUUGAAGUCAGGAGUAGAAACUAGCCCCAUUUCUACUAAAAAUACAAAAGAAAAAAUUAGCCGCGUGUGGUGGUGGGUGCCUGUAAUCCCAGCUACUCAGGAGGCUGAGGCAGGAGAAUCGCUUGAACCCAGGACACAGAGGUUGCAGUGAGUCGAGAUCGCGACACUGCACUCCAGCCUAGGGGACAGAACAAGACUCCGUCUCAAAAAAAAAAAAAAAUCUCUGUUGCCCCAGUUUUCUACCAGUCUCACUUUAGUUUCUGAAUAUGCAGCCCCCUGGUGUCUUAGUUGACUUUAAUGGUUCUUAUCCAGGGCCAAUUUUGCUUCCCAGAGGAUAUUUGGUGAUAUCUGGAAGAUCUGGAGAUAUUUUUUCAUUGACAUCCUAGGGGGAUAGUAAGGGCAUUCAGCAGGUAGAGGCCAAGGGUGCUACUAAAUGUCCUACAAUGUACAGGGCAGCCUCCCACAACAAAUCUAGCUAAAUGUCGGUAGUACUGAGGUUGAGAAACCCUGUGCUCUAGCUGGAAGCCUGGUGUCCUGGCUGGUUUUACCCUGAAGGAGUCCCAGUGUGAUGACUGCUUGGGAGUGGACUUUGGUGAAGGUGGUGAGAGAUACUUGAGCAUGGGAGUGGAGAGAAGGUUUGGAGGGCAAACCUCCAAGGAUUUCAUGAUCCUUGAAGGACAAAUAUUAUCCCAAGUUAGUUCAAGGGAAGAUCACACAGAGCUUCUGGUUAAUAGCAGUGGCUGAGCUCUGAAGGCACCCCUUUUCCUCGACCAGGAAGCUCCUAGGGUAAUGUAGUGGACCAGGCAUUUCCUACCCUCCUCCCAACUCCCCUGUAAACGUGUACACUGAUGGCCGGGCACAUCUGUAAUCCUGUGUAGCUCACACCUGUAAUCCCAGCACUGUGGGAGGCUGAGGCAGGCGAAUCACUUGAGGCCAGGAAUUGGAGACCGGCCUCACCAACAUGGCAAAACCCUGUCUCUACUAAAAAUACAAAAAUUAGCCAGCUGUGGUUGUGCACGCCUGUAAUCCCAGCUACUGGGGAGGCUGAGGCAGGAGAAUCGUUUGAACUCGGGAGGUGGAGGUUGCAGUCAGCCGAGAUCACACCACUGCACUCCAGCCUGGGUGACAGAGCGAGAUACUGUCUCUAAAAAAAAAAGAAAAAAAAUUAAAUAACCUAGAAUGGGCAGGGGGUUGUGGGGGAUCCUCCUCCCUAAGCGCUUAUCUUGGUGCUUCCAGCUCAGUCUGGCCAAUUCCACCUCUAUGAGAUAAGGAGGGUUCAGAGAACCCAGUCACUUUGCUGUUUUUCUGCCCACAAGUUUCUCUAAUAAAUCUUAUUCUAUGUCUACACAGCAUGGCUAGAGGUGAGUGUUCUGAGCCCCUGCAUGCCCAGGCCUUACCAAGGAAUACCACCUUAAACAGUCAGUUCACUACUUCCCUACCACAUGGUACAUUUGUCUAGGGCAGCUAAGAGGGGGCAGGGAAUAGUGGCCCACUGCAGAACAAAACAAAAUAAAACAAUAUGACAAAAACAAAGAGAACACAACCACCAGAUGGGAUCAAGCUGUUCGGGAAGGCAGGGAACUGCAGCCCAACAAUCCUUCCAAGUAUUCUAGAUGGGUUCUUUCCUUGGAUCUAUCGAGAGGUAAGCCUGGGAUAACAGACAUGACGUCCUCAACUCUCACCCACCCUGAUGACUUCCAGCCCUCCCCCGAAUGCCACUCAUGGAGCCAGCUACCAACUCAGUGUUUCCACUUGGCUGCCUAAUGGCAUCUCGCACUUAACAGGUGCACAGCUGAGCGAGCACCUGAGUCCCGCCUGGCCUCCCACACCCAGAGCCUUCUCCACCUCAGGGCGCAGAGCCGCAUUCUUCCCUGACCACUCUUCACACACCACUUCCAAUCCCUUGGCAAAUCUUGUCAGUUUAACUUUAAGAUACACCCACCAUUUCUGACUUUUUUUUCUUUUCUUUUUUUUGUUUUGUUUUGUUUUUUGUUUUUUGUGUUUUUUUGAGACAGGGUCUCACUGGAGUUCCGUGAUGCAAUCAUAGCUCACUGCAGCCUUGACCUCCUGGGCACAAGUGAUCCUCCUACCUUAGCCUCCCAAGUAGCUGG